UUGGAAGCGCACCAUGUUAUCAAGAUAUUUUGGAUACAUCUCUCAUAUGCGCAUUUACACGUUCUGAACAUCAAAACUUUCGAUGCCGAUGAUGUUGUGCAGGAACUUCUCCAAAGGAAAUCCGUACAACUAAUAUUGACGUUCUGUAUCAGAAAUGACGGAUUGUGUCAAUCGUACUUUAUAGGUUCAGUGGUCAUAACGUACUUAUAAAGGAACACUAAGCAUGGAUUCCUGGUGCAUGGUUCCGUAAAUUUGAUCGGAACACUGCCUUCACGGUAUGCCAGAAAAAGGUGAUACUGACAGGGUAGUCUACGACCGAAAAGCAAAAAUUAUUUGAAGAGCUUCUACGAACGAGAAUUUCAUGUUGAUGGAUGUUAUUCGAAAGGAAACAGACCAUUCCAUUCUCAAAGAUGAAGAAAACUCGCAGCCCUAAAAUAUCUCAUUUGGCUCCGACAGCUAAAGGAAUGCAACGAAUAUUGAAAACAUUAAAAGGUGGUAAACUAGUGUGCGAUAUGAAGAAGUUGAAAUGAAUUGAAAGAGAAGUCAGGUGAAAGAUUAGUACAUGGAUUUGCUGGUACAGCUUUCUUUUCAAAUGGCGUUUUUGCUUGAACCCGAAACUGAGUCAGGUUCUAACCCCAACCGCUGUCAGUUCAUACAUUUUGACAGCAGUUGGGGUUAGGAACUGACUCAGUUUCGCUUCAAGCAAAAACGACAUAAUCCUGCUUACGGUGAUCUGGAGUGUGAGUUUUUCUAUGUUCUUUGAAACAACGGCCACUGAAAUGUACCUUUCUGGAUAAGAUACAAUCUGAGGGCCCUUUUCGUGCUGAACGGGAACUUACAAUUGUACGGAUUAUCUUCUACUCGUACUGUACGACUUUUACAGUACCGCGUGGCAGAUCAGUACAUAGGCGACUAGUCCAGUAUGGAUUCCAUCAAGUCACAUUACGUCGAGCUUCCACGUUUAUCCCUGUUGACCAGAGUAACCAGUGCAGCGUACUUCGCCUGUCCAAAGAUUUUGGCCACAUGGAAACCGUGUAUUCAACAGCAGCAGGAAAUACUCCUCUAAUAUGAACCAGCAUUGUCAGCAACUAAUUAGCUUGAUCUGAAACAUCAUCCCACGUGUCAUAAAUGCAGUCACAUGAUUAUUAGUACCUAGGACAUUAGUAUUGUACAAUGCAGAUCUCCAAUCGAAAUGCUGGCACACAAUAUUGGAAGAGAACAAAUCGUUUGUCAAGAUAAAGAAUCCAUCAUUGUUCAGCAGUGAUGGUUAGUUAAGAUUAGUGUCUCAUCCAAGACUCGCGAAAUUUUAAGAAUGGUUAAGAUCAUUCCUCACGUGUUAUUUGAAAAGGGCCAAUGAGCAAGCUAUCUGUUAAAAGUCACUACCUAAGAGGUCACUACUACUCAGAAAAGUUCAGCCGGAAAUGAACUGGAAUCAAACUAGAAUCGGUUGUGUCACUGGAUCCGGAAUACGAACUGUAACCAGCCAGAACCAGGAAAAUCGGUAUUGCUCAUUUCACUCCAAAUUAGGCUAUCAUACAAGUGUGCAUCUUCUUUCAGAGAAUAAUAAAAAUGCACAUUUUCGUCGGAUCGCUUGGAAGUCGUCGAUGCACUUAUUCUUUUGUUUAUAAUAUUCUAGUUUUUACAGGCGGAUUGUAGCUUAUGUUCAUUGUAAAAAUAUUAAAAAGGACAAACUUUAGCUUUCAGUAAAAUAGAUAAAAUAAAUUAAUCAGCACAUGCGAU